GACGAACGCUGGCGGCGUGCUUAACACAUGCAAGUCGAACGAAGUGGCGCAAGGGUGGGUAACGCGUAAUCAACCUGCCCUUCAGAGGGGGACAACAGUUGGAAACGACUGCUAAUACCGCAUACUGAAGGAGGGGAUUGCGUCUGCUUAGCUGGUUGGAGGGGUAACGGCCCACCAAGGCGAUGAUCAGUAGCCGGUCUGGAGGGAUGAACGGCCACAAUGGGACUGGGAAACGGCCCAGAAUUCUACGGGAUGCAGCAGUGGGGAAUCUUCCGAAAAGGACGAAAGUCUGACGGAGCAACGCCGCGUGAGUGAUGACGGCCUUCGGGUUGGAAAGCUCUGUUAAUCGGGACGCGGUACCGGAAUAGAAAGCCACGGCUAACUACGUGCCAGCAGCCGCGGUAAUAC
rnacentral:rRNA from 1 species